UACGGGGGGGCGAAGCGUUGUUCGGAAUUACUGGGCGUAAAGGGCUCGUAGGCGGCCAACUAAGUCAGACGUGAAAUCCCCAGGCUCAACCUGGGAACUGCGUCUGAUACUGGAUGGCUUGAAUUCGGGAGAGGGAUGCAGAAUUCCAGGUGUAGCGGUGAAAUGCGUAGAUAUCUGGAGGAAUACCGGUGGCGAAGGCGGCAUCCUGGACCGACAUUGACGCUGAUGAGCGAAAGCUAGGGGAGCAAACGGGG
rnacentral:rRNA from 1 species